AUCUAACUGACGAGUUCCGAAAUAGCACAAAACGCGCGUCCUGGAU
rnacentral:hammerhead_ribozyme from 1 species